CCCGGUUGAUCCUGCCGGAGAUCACCGCUAUCAGGAUUCGAUUUAAACAUGCUAGGUGAAUGCGGGCUUGUCCUGCAUGCCGAACAGCUCAGUAACACGUAGUUAAUCUGCCCUCCGGUCGGGAAUAACCCCGGGAAACUGGGAGUAAUGUCCGAUAGGUUUUGGAUACUGGAAUGUUCCAAAGCCCAAAGUUCCGGCGCCUGAGGAUGAGACUGCGGUGGAUUAGGCUGUUGUUGGUGUAAUGGACCAACAAACCUAUAAUCCAUACGGGCGUUGAGAGACGUAACCCGGAGAUGUGUUCUGAGACAAGAAUACAGGCCCUACGGGGCGCAGCAGUUGCGAAACCUUUACAAUGUCUUCACGGACGAUAGGGGAAUCCUGAGUGCUCUAGCAAUGCUAGAGCUUUUAUCUACUUCAAAAGGGUAGGUGAAUAAACAGUGGGCAAGACGGGUGCCAGCCGCCACGGUAAUACCCGCACUGCAAGUGGUGAUCGCGUUUAUUGGGUCUAAAGCGUUCGUAGCCGGUUUAGUAAAUUCCUGGUGAAAUCCUGUGUAAAACAUAAGGCGUGCCAAGAACACUACUAUGCUAGGGACCGGGAAAAGCUGAGGGUACUCAAGGGGUAGGGGUUAAAUACUGAAACAAGGAUCUUGUUUUUUUGACCUUUUCGGUUUAACAAUCCUGUAAUCCUUUGAGGACCACCUGUGGCGAAGGCGCUCAGCUGGAACGGCUCCGACGGUGAGGGACGAAAGCCUGGGGAGCGAACGGGAUUAGAUACCCCGGUAGUCCAGGCCGUAAACGAUGCCCGUUUGGUGUAUCAUUUCCUUCGAGGAGAUGAUGUGCCGUAGCGUAGGCGUUAAACGGGCCACCUGGGGAGUACGGUCGCAAGACUGAAUUUUAGGCAAAUUUAUAAAGUUUGCUAAAACAGGAAACUUAAGGGAAUUGGCGGGGGAGCACCUCAAGGGGUGGAGGCUGCGGUUUAAUUGGAUUCAACGCCAGACAUCUUACCAGAGACGACAGCAGGAUGACGGUCACCCUGAAGGGGUUACCUGACGAGCUGAGAGGAGUUGCAUGGCCAUCGUCAGCUCGUGCCGUGAGGCGUGCAGUUAAGUCUGUUAACGAGCGAGACCCAAAUCUUUAGUUGCUACGUUAUUCUUCGGAGUAGCGGCACUCUAGAGAGACCGCUGGUGAUAAAUCAGAGGAAGGAUUGGGCGACGGUAGGUCCGUAUGGCCCGAAUUCUCUGGGCUACACGCGGCCUACAAUGGUCAGGACAAUAGGUUGCAACACCGAAAGGUGGAGCUAAUCCCGGAAACCUGAUCUUAGUUCGGAUCGAGGGUUGAAACUCACCCUCGUGAAGCCGGAAUCCCUAGUAAGCGAAAGUCACUAUCUUUCGCUGAAUACGACCCUGCUCCUUGCACACACCGCCCGU
rnacentral:rRNA from 1 species